rnacentral:rRNA from 1 species
GACGAACGCUGGCGGCGUGCUUAACACAUGCAAGUCGAACGAUGAAGCCGGAGCUUGCUCUGGUGAAUUAGUGGCGAACGGGUGAGUAACACGUGAGUAACCUGCCCUUGACUCUGGGAUAACUGCUAGAAAUGGUAGCUAAUACCGGAUACGACCCUCGGAGGCAUCUUCAGGGGGUGGAAAGAAUUUCGGUCAAGGAUGGACUCGCGGCCUAUCAGCUAGUUGGUGAGGUAAUGGCUCACCAAGGCGACGACGGGUAGCCGGCCUGAGAGGGUGACCGGCCACACUGGGACUGAGACACGGCCCAGAGUCCUACGGGAGGCAGCAGUGGGAAAUAGUGCACAAUGGGCGCAAGCCUGAUGCAGCAACGCCGCGUGAGGGAUGACGGCCUUCGGGUUGUAAACCUCUUUUAGCAGGGAAGAAGCGAAAGUGACGGUACCUGCAGAAAAAGCACCGGCUAACUACGUGCCAGCAGCCGCCGUAA